GGGCACGUAGCUCAGUCCGGAUAGAGCGUCGGACUUCUAAUCCGACGGUCGCGGGUUCGAAUCCCGUCGUGCCCG
rnacentral:tRNA from 1 species